rnacentral:rRNA from 1 species
GUGGGGAAUCUUAGACAAUGGGGGAAACCCUGAUCUAGCCAUGCCGCGUGAGCGAUGAAGGCCUUAGGGUUGUAAAGCUCUUUCAGCUGGGAAGAUAAUGACGGUACCAGCAGAAGAAGCCCCGGCUAACUCCGUGCCAGCAGCCGCGGUAAUACGGAGGGGGCUAGCGUUGUUCGGAAUUACUGGGCGUAAAGCGCGCGUAGGCGGACCAGAAAGUUGGAGGUGAAAUCCCAGGGCUCAACCUUGGAACUGCCUUCAAAACUCCUGGUCUGGAGUUCGAGAGAGGUGAGUGGAAUUCCGGGUGUAGAGGUGAAAUUCGUAGAUAUUCGGAGGAACACCAGUGGCGAAGGCGGCUCACUGGCUCGAUACUGACGCUGAGGUGCGAAAGCGUGGGGAGCAAACAGGAUUAGAUACCCGGGUAGUCC